CUUAGAGUAGUUGUAACUUCCCCAUUAUAUUUUUCUUAUUUAAUAUCAAAAUAUUUAAAUUAAUUCUGCAAAUAAUGAACCCACAAAUAGUGAAGAUCUGGCUGCAUCUGUAGAUUUAAUUUUAUUUAAGUCAAGUAGUUUUUAAAAUUAUUUAAAACUUUAAUGAAUACAUUUGGCAACAUUUUAGGAACUAGAUCAUUAGGAUUCCCUUUUUUUGCUAUUGUAAUCAAUCUUUAAAUACAUGUGUACUGCUUAAAUCCUUCGUAUUUCCAUUUAACAAACAUAGAAUAAGAAUGAGUUUUGGCAGCUUGAAAUAUUGGUAAAGUUGUUUUUUGAUGUAUAUAAACAAAAAUUCUGAAACAAUUAUAGUGUGCUUCGAUACAGUCUUUAAACUUUUCUAGUCACAAGAGUUUACUAAUUUACUAGUUUGUAGUGCUCCAUAAAAGGUGUAGAUCUGAAAUCUUUCCUUGACAUGACCAACAGUACCCAGAGCAUAUUAAUCUAGACUUUUCUUCUUGUUUAAUUCAGCACUGUGCUUUGCACUCACAGGACAUUGCAUAUUACCAAGCCUUGUCUGCUGAGAGGUUGCAGACAGAUGCCGCAAAGAUUCACCCCAGCACAUCAGCGUCCCAGGAGUUGUAUGAACCAGGAUUGGAGCCAUCUGCUACUGCCAAACUGGGUGAUUUGCAGCGUUCUUGGGAAACCUUAAAGAAUGUGAUCAGUGAGAAGCAGCGCACACUCUAUGAAGCUUUGGAACGCCAGCAGAAGUACCAGGACUCCCUCCAGUCCAUCUCUACGAAGAUGGAGGCCAUUGAGCUGAAACUCAGUGAGAGCCCAGAGCCCGGCAGGAGUCCAGAAAGCCAGAUGGCUGAACAUCAGGUACAAAUAGCCAUGACUUCAGUUUCCUGCUUGAUUAAAUAAGUGCACUCUUGUGACUGUUUGGCCUGUCAGGCAUGUGUUUGAGAUAGCCAGUUGACUUUUUUUUUUUUUUUUUUUUUAACCUUAUCAGUUCUUCCAGAGUAAACAAGAGUCCUAAUGAUGGUUGUUUCUACUGCUGAUUCAGGCAGGGAUCUGAGAAAGAGAGAGAGAGAGAGAGAGAUUCAGACUUUGAAUCUAAUUAAAGAAAGCUACAUGCAUUGAUGUUGCUUUUUAACUUUGAUUACACAAAAUGUGUUUCCUUAGAGUUGCCAGGUUAUAUUGGUUUUGUUGUGAGCCAUUGUUGUAAGAAUAAAAUAUACUCCAAAUCUACCUUUUCUGGAUAUUGUUGUUUUAAGAAACUUAGCCAGGGGGUGUCCCUCCAUUAUUACUUCAGAAAAUAUGUCUCAGGCUUCAUAAGUUCUGAGUCUCAUCUUGUGAUUGUCCCUGACUUAAAUCAUUUUUUAGAAGGUUAGACUAGGCAAAAAAUUAGAGAUCAUUACAUUAACCUAAUGCAGAAAGAUAAUGUUAAAAAUGUGUCCAUUUAAAAUGCAUGCUAAGAAAUGUUUAGAAAUUAAAAUCUGGUUAAUACUUUGGCAGUCUGAUGAGGUAUGCUGUUAAAAUUAUAUUUAUUUGGUAUAAGUAGGGUCUUAGGAUACUGAGGCACACAUUCUCCUACAUAUUCAUCACCCUGAUGUAGGAAAAUGCUGCCUGUCUGGGACAAGAACCCAGGAGCGUUGACAGUCCUUCAGAAGGCAGGAGGGAAGAAAGAUAUUUUUAGAUGUUAAUUAAGAGCUAUGAAAGCAUGGCUUUCAAGCAUGUUUAUCAAAGACAGGGUAACUUAACAGCUUUAAGAG